CGAUCCACUGAGAUUCAGCC
rnacentral:sRNA from 1 species